GCCGAGACCGAGACCGGGAGCAGCGGCGCCGCCGAGGUCCAGGCGGCGACGCGCCCCGGGCCCUGUUGGCCGCCCAGCGCGGCUCUUCGUCCUCUUCGUCGCCGCCGCCGUCCGCUCGACCCUGGUCGUCAGCUUCCUCUGGAGAGCGGCCUGGGGGCCUGAGACGGCGGCGGCCUCGUCCCAGGCCUCGGCCACCGAGGCCGCGAGCUCGGAAGCGGCCUGCCGGUUCGGGCAGCCGCGGGGAGGAAGAGGAGGAGGAGGAAGAAGGGGGUGCAGACGACGGGGAAGCCGAGGAGGAGCCUGAGGAGGAGGAAGAAGAGGAGGAGGACUUGAUCGAUGGCUUUGCCAUCGCUAGCUUCGCCAGCCUUGAGGCCUUGCAGAAGGAUGCAUCUCUUCAGCCCCCAGAGCGACUGGAACAUCGGCUGAAGCAUUCUGGGAAACGGAAGAGGGGGGGCUCCAGUGGGGCCACUGGGGAGCUAGGGGACAGCUCAGAUCGUGAGCCUGGCCGGCCCCCUGGGGAUCGGCCCCGAAAAUGGCCCAAUAAGCGGAGAAGGAAAGAGGUGAGCUUGUCCCAGUUCCCAAUCCUUUAAAAUUCCUUAAGCAGCAUAUCAUUCAUGUAGAUUGGUUUUCCAUCAACAUUGCAACUGUCCAUCCUAAGAGCCAGGAGUA
rnacentral:lncRNA from 1 species